UUCAAGUAUAGUUAUAGGUUUCUUUAUUUAAUGUUUGAUCAUCCAUCUUUUUAAAUUUUUUAUGGUAAGUAUUUUUAUUGCUAUUAGAUGAUAAAAUAUGAACAGUACUUUAUGUAUGACUUAUUUUUAAAAGAAAUUUUAUAAAUUUUUUAAAUAAGACUGAAUGGUGAAACAUUUAACCCAGAAAAUUAGAAUGUGACGCAGA
rnacentral:pre_miRNA from 1 species